CUUAUUUAUAAACAAGAGUCGUCUGUAUGCUUCAUGUUUUAGAUUGAAGAUUGAAUGUGUAUGUGUUAUAUCUGUAUUACUCUCUCUGCUUCCCAUCUGCAACAUGUGUACCUGUGGUGUAACCUCAUGGUUUAGUUUUUAUUCGUUUUAAAAUCUUAAUAUCAGCAAUAAGAUGUUGUAAUUUCUUAUGUGUUACUUUUAUGUUUAAGGUCAAGUGAACAUGAUUGAAAUAUGUAUUGCAUAUAUUUUAAAAGUAUAUUACAAUGUAAUUUAGAAUACUUAACGUUUUUAAAAAAGGACAAUCAUAUUAAUAUCUAAUAUUUACAUGUAGUGUAUAUUUCCCCUUAUGUUUGCAGAGGACAUCUGUGACGUUCAAUUUCUCAUGACACCUGUGGGUUUUAGCUCUGCUGGCCAUAGACCAGAAGAGUGUAUGCAAUGAUCUGUUUGUGUAGCUUUCUGUUUGUCUCUCUGUGAACAAUUUUCAAAUGCUACUACUAUUACAGCUAUCAAGAAUGUUCACAUAUAUAUACAUGUCUUGUGUUUGAAAUCAUGCAUGACACAUUUUUCUAACUUUGAGAAAUAGAAUAUAUAAUCUUUAACUGACAAAAGUGUUCCCUUAUUAAUAUUGUUUUACCUCUGCAAAUAAAGGUAUCAUGGUAUAAAGGAUUUACCUUGUCUGUCUGUUAAUCUGUGUCUACAUUACAAGUGUUGAGGAUGGAUUGCUAUGCCAUAGCAAUAUUUUUGGUGGGGGUUAUGCAUUUGCUGCUGCCUUUAUUUGACACAGAGAUGGUCAUGGUCUUGUAGGGAUUCGUCAUGACCUAGACGUGGUAGUACAUGGACAAGGUGACAAGGAAAAUAAUGAUUUGGGGUAUUACCCUAAUACAAAGUCACAAGGAAAAGCGUAUAGGACAUUUUGAUGUGGCCUAAGCUAUAACCGAGAUAAGUUGUUCACACCUUAAUUUUUACAAGUAGUUUCAAACCAAUGGCAUUUGACACUUUAGUCGUCAAUGAUUUUAGUGAAGAGGUUUUCUGGUCUGUUACCAUAUUCUCUUUGAAGAUAAUUAUAGAAACCAAACUUAGAAAACAAUGUAUUUGAAGACAUUUUUUUUUUAUCUUUGACACCGGUUAAGGACAAUGUUUUGAUCUAUGUUCAUCUUAUCAAAAGGGGUACACAGACCAAACUUCUUCCUGAGAUGCAUUAACAUAUACUAGUAUAUGAUCAUUUCAAAGCAUGCUUUGCAUGCUGCUUCUGACUUAAAUUACAUAAGUCUGUGAUUCAUAAGCACAGUAUCUAUAUCUUUUUAUUUCAAGGGGUUUACAAAGUAAAUUUCUUCAGUGCAUCACUGGCUGCUCUGUUCAAUCCAUUACAUGUAGUAAAAAAAUCUGCCACCUUUUCAGGAAUGCCCCAUACUAUGCACUGUUGCCAUUAGGAGACAAGUCGUUAGUAAUUCUUCGGUUACUUUUAUAAAACAAAUUCCCUUAACCAUUUCUGUGCCACAGGGCCUAUUUGGGCAUAUUUGAAUAUCUACGUUAAGUGCCACAGGGCCUAUUUGGGCCUAUGGCAAUUUGAAAAAAUAUACAUUAAAAUAAAAAUAAAUAUUAAAUA
rnacentral:sRNA from 1 species